rnacentral:rRNA from 1 species
CUGCCUACGGGACGCAGCAGUGGGGGAUAUUGCACAAUGGGGGGAACCCUGAUGCAGCGACGCCGCGUGGGCGAUGGAGCGCCUCGGCGCGUAAAGCCCUAUCAGCAGGGAAGAAGAUGACGGUACCUGACUAAGAAGCACCGGCUAAAUACGUGCCAGCAGCCGCGGUAAUACGUAUGGUGCAAGCGUUAUCCGGAUUUACUGGGUGUAAAGGGAGCGCAGGCGGCGCGUUAAGCCUGGUGUGAAAGCCCGCGGCCCAACCGCGGGACUGCAUUGGGAACUGGCGCGCUGGAGUGCCGGAGGGG